rnacentral:rRNA from 1 species
AAUAGAUACCCUGGUAGUCCACGCCCUAAACGAUGUCUACUAGUUGUCGGGUCUUAAUUGACUUGGUAACGCAGCUAACGCGUGAAGUAGACCGCCUGGGGAGUACGGUCGCAAGAUUAAAACUCAAAGGAAUUGACGGGGACCCGCACAAGCGGUGGAUGAUGUGGAUUAAUUCGAUGCAACGCGAAAAACCUUACCUACCCUUGACAUGGUCGGAACCCUGAAGAGAUUCGGGGGUGCUCGAAAGAGAACCGAUACACAGGUGCUGCAUGGCUGUCGUCAGCUCGUGUCGUGAGAUGUUGGGUUAAGUCCCGCAACGAGCGCAACCCUUGUCAUUAGUUGCUACGAAAGGGCACUCUAAUGAGACUGCCGGUGACAAACCGGAGGAAGGUGGGGAUGACGUCAAGUCCUCAUGGCCCUUAUGGGGUAGGGCUUCACACGUCAUACAAUGGUGCAUACAGAGGGUUGCCGAACCCGGCGGAGGGGGAGCCAAUCCCAGAAAGUGCAUCGUAGUCCGGAUUGCAGUCUGCAACUCGA